rnacentral:rRNA from 1 species
AUUGAACGCUGGCGGCAUGCCUUACACAUGCAAGUCGAACGGCAGCACGGGAGCAAUCCUGGUGGCGAGUGGCGAACGGGUGAGUAAUACAUCGGAACGUGCCCAGUAGUGGGGGAUAACCCGGCGAAAGCCGGACUAAUACCGCAUACGACCUACGGGUGAAAGCAGGGGAUCGCAAGACCUUGCGCUAUUGGAGCGGCCGAUGUCAGAUUAGCUUGUUGGNGGGUAAAGCCUACCAAGGCAACGAUCUGUAGCUGGUCUGAGAGGACGACCAGCCACACUGGGACUGAGACACGGCCCAGACUCCUACGGGAGGCAGCAGUGGGGAAUUUUGGACAAUGGGCGCAAGCCUGAUCCAGCCAUGCCGCGUGCGGGAAGAAGGCU